GUGAAACAUAAUAUGAUGUUUUUUAAACAUCAUAUCAUGUAAACCUAUUCCAGUAGACCCCAAGAGUACAAAUAUGAUGCUAAAAAGGAGAAUAAUAGGGGCUCUUAAAAAAUAGUGUGGUGCUGCUUCAUAAUCGAGGGCAACAAUACAAACUAAUAGAGUAGAUAUAUUUGGAAUAGAGGUUCACAACCGCCAAAGUCCUUAAUGAAUGUUACUAUGAGCCCAACACUGUUUUCUACUUUUUUUCUAUUUAUAUCUGAGGGGACACUGUACAGGUCUUUGUCCACUGGACAGAGAGGUAGUGGAGCUAUAGAUUGGUGCACAGGUACUCUAAAUGAUGUCAUUGGGAUUUGCCCAAAAUCCAAGUCACAUUGCUAGCUACUGAAAAGCAUUGAGGACACUUAAACUGCCACAUAACUAUUUGCAGUAAUAACAGAUUUGAAUAGUGUUGUAGUAAUUACCAUAAUAAAAGGAACCAGUAACCGUAUACCUUCAACAUAGGCUGAUAAGCCAUAUCAAACACUGGCAGGGUAUUUGUCUCUGCACUUGCCUUCUCCCCAGGUCUUCUCUUAUAGCACUAACAGUGUUUCAGUAUUGACAGAACACUGGCCAUGUUAUGUGACAUUGUGUUGGGAAGUCUAACCAAUACAGAUGUUUCAGUGCUGUCUGAAACUGCCCAUUUUAGUGAAGGGCAGCAUCAUUCAAAAACACCUUAGUUUGGGUGAGCCGCUGGGUGAUGACUGAUCAAAUGUCUGCUGACAGAGAGAGGUUUUUUUUUUUCCCCAAAGGAACACAAUGUGUGCUAUAAAACACCUCCCCACACACAUCACUCUGAAAGUCAACUCCUAAAACAUAACUUGUACUAAUCUGUGUGGACAGACUAAUCUGUUGGGGUCGUCCCAAACAUGUUGUGAACGCACUAAAGAUUAGAGAUGACACUGUUCUCCAGACGCCAUAUUCCUAAUUCUUAAAUCGGAUGCCAUUUGUUUUUUGCGUCAGAUAAAAUGAUAAAGGCUAAUGUCCCUUUUGUGCUGAACACAGUUUCGGUCAAUGUUGGGAUAAAACACAAACAAAAGGCCUGUUUCAAAAGCACAAGAAAGAGCUGAUGGCAGUGUGAGGAGAAUGAGAUGGUCGGUUCAUGCAAUUAAAGAUACACAUUUCUUUACAGUUUACAUGCUGGAGGAUGCCGAGUCAUGUUAUUUGUCAUGUUGCUUUUAAAGACGAGAAUACGGACACUAAACCGGGUCAUGGGGAUCUAUUUCUUUAGGCGAUACAUUAAAGAUGUUGCCAUAAUGUUGAUGUCAGGCUUUACUGUGCAUUUUGAGUGUGAUGUCAUCACGUUAGUUUAAUUUUUUUUUUUUUUUUUUUACAAAUUGUGGGAUCACCUUUGUUUACAAAUUCACAAGAGGUUCAGUUUUUGUAACUCUGGCAAAGAUAUGUCUCGUGGUUGCCUAAAAGAAAAUCAGUGAAUUGGAUUUUCCUUCUUCAGACAGCCGUGAAGGGGCUGAAUCUGCACCACAAGGAGUUAAAAGUCUGAUCCAAUGUGAACGCCUGUCUUUAUUCAAACAUCUGUGUCUUCCAGUUGAUGCUUUUAACACUGACUGAAGGUCUGCCAGUACUUCCCUUUGGAAACCGUCAUUUGUAGUUUUUAAAGGUCACCCAUUUUAAAUUAUUAAAUACCAGCAGGUGUUUGGACAGAGAUGGAAAGGCUGCUGAAUUGGCCACCAACACUUUUUGCAGGAUUUACUCAGAAGGAUAGGUUCCCCGAGGCGCAGGGUCUGGAAGGCCGCCGUGCCCUUUGGUACGGAUUCAAUUAGGGCUGCCACUAACGAUUCAUUUCAUCAUCAGUUAACCGGUCAAUUGAAUUCCUUAUUAACCGUUUAAUCUAUAAAAUGUCAGAAAAUAGUGAAAAUGCCUGUGCUCUAUUUUGAUAGCUUGUUUUGUUCAACCAUUUUCUUACAUUUUAUAGACGAAACAGUUAAUCGAGAAUUUAAUUGACAGAUUAGAUAAUGUAAAAAAUCGUGUAACAGUCCAAAACCCAAAGAUGUUCAGUUUACUAUCAUAUAUGGCAAAGAAAUGCAUCCUGACAUUUAAUGUUUGUCAUUUCUACUUGAAAAUUAACUAAAACAAUUAAUGGAUGGUCACGAAAAGUUGCAGAUUAAUUUUCUGUCGCUCGAUUAAAUGUUGCAUCUGAUUUAAAUUAGUUGCUUAUGGGUUCUUAUGCAGCCAGAGCAAUAGUAACAAUUGAAACUACUAGUCCUUAAUUCCCUACACUACUAAUGUUAAGCUGUUGGGCAAAGUAAAGCAUUUAAAUUUAUAACUAUGCCUUUAAAUGUUCAACAAUCAGCCCACGAUUCAAAGCUGCGCCAUUAGCCUGAAACCAUAUCAGUUGACCCCAUAAUGCAUUAUCUAUGCCAGGUUUAAUCUUAGCACAAGUGAUUACAGGGUUUGGACUCCUGUACCCACAAUGCCUCUGAUGUAUUAGUGUUUAUUAGUGUUUAGUAACAGUCACUGACCCAUAGACCAAACAGCAGUCAGAGAGGAGGAGCUGAAGCAAAAGUAAGAUGAGCUGACUUGACUAUAAAGAUUCUUUCCAUGACUUGCCUGCUGCCAAAUGCACAGUACAGUCCUUACACAUGACUGACCAUAAAGGGAUGUGGGGACAGGAGGCUUGGCCAAGGCUUAGUAGUGUGUGUUUGAAGGUGGGAAGCAUCAGAAAGUCAGGUCUUUGUCUCCCAGCGAGGAGAAGCACUGCUCCACGGCCUGCUCAGACACCUCCUCCAGUGUCGACGGCUUCCACUUGGGAUUCUGGUCCUUGUCAACCAGCACUGGAAACAUGCAGAAAACCACGACACAGAAAGUGGGAUCAGAUGAUGUGACUGACAUGAUGUCAAGCAAUAGAAAACAAGUAUUUAUUUGAUCCGUUAAUAACAUUUAGAAUCAA